AACGCUAGCUACAGGCUUAACACAUGCAAGUCGAGGGGCAGUCACGGGCAGAGCUUGCUUGCCUGGUGGCGACCGGCGCACGGGUGAGUAACGCGUAUCCAACCUGCCCGCAACCGCGGAAUAGCCCGCCGAAAGGCGGAUUAAUGCCGCAUGCCGUCGGGAGAGGGCAUCUGGCCCCGACGAAAGGUUUUUCCGGUUGCGGAUGGGGAUGCGUCCGAUUAGGCGGCAGGCGGGGCAACGGCCCACCUGGCCUACGAUCGGUAGGGGUUCUGAGAGGAAGGUCCCCCACAUUGGAACUGAGACACGGUCCAAACUCCUACGGGAGGCAGCAGUGAGGAAUAUUGGUCAAUGGGCGGAAGCCUGAACCAAGCCAAGUAGCGUGGGGGAUGACGGCCCUACGGGUUGUAAACCCCUUUUUCGCGGGGAUAACCGGGCGCACUUGUGCGUCCCUGCAGGUACCGCGUGAAUAAGGACCGGCUAAUUCCGUGCCAGCAGCGGC
rnacentral:rRNA from 1 species